rnacentral:misc_RNA from 1 species
GAUGAAGAACGUAGCGAAAUGCGAUACUUGGUGUGAAUUGCAGAAUCCCGUGAACCAUCGAGUCUUUGAACGCAAGUUGCGCCCGAAGCCUCGGCUAAGGGCACGUCUGCCUGGGCGUCACGCAUCGCGUCUCCCCCAAACCGCCAAGGCGGAGGGGAAGGAAGAUGGCUUCCCGUGCCUCACCCGGGCGCGGUUGGCCUAAAUUUGGAGCCCGCGGCACUUAGCUCUCGCGGCGAUAGGUGGUGAACAAGGCCUUGGCCGUGCAAACAACCCGCUGCGAAGCUCUAUGUCACGUGCGCUCGUCGGACCCUUUGAAGUUGCCUUUGGUGACUUAAAACCUUUGCGACCCCAGGUCAGUCGGGGCUACCCGCUGAAUUUAAGCAUAUCAAUAAGCGGAGGA